CAAAGUUUUGGUCCUAGGCUUACUAUUGUCCUUAAUCAAAAUUAUACAUGCAAGCAUCCACGAACCAGUGAAAAUGCCCUACAAUACUACCUUACAGUAGACCAGGAGCAGGUAUCAGGCACAUCAUACGCCAAUAACACCUUGCCUUGCCACACCCUCACGGGUACUCAGCAGUAACCAACAUUAGACCAUAAGCGAUACAAAAGCUUGAUCUGCUUAUGAUUAAAAAGGCUGGUAAAUUUCGUGCCAGCAACCGCGGUUAUACGAACAAGCCUAAGACAACGCUAUCGGCGAAAAGCGUGACUAGAACAUUAAGCUCUCCCCAAGUUAAGGAAAACCACUAGCCCAGCUGUAAAAUACCCAGACCCUAAAUAAGCCCUAACCCCCCCCCCUUAAUAAAAAUAGACCUUUAACUCACGAAAACUAGGAAACAAACUAGGAUUAGAGACCCUACUAUGCCUAGUCGUAACCUCAGAUACAACUGUAUCCGCCAGAGAAUUACAAGUGAAAAACUUAAAACUCAAAGGACUUGGCGGUGCUUCAUACUCAACCUAGAGGAGCCUGUCCUAUAAUUGAUACUCCCCACUUAACCUUACCACUUCUAGUUAAUACAGCCUAUAUACCGCCGUCGUCAGUUUAUCUUCUAAAAGCUAAAAAAUGAACUAAAUAGCCUACCGCUAAAACGUCAGGUCAAGGUGUAGCUAAUGAAGUGGCAGAGAUGGGCUACAUUUUUUCCAAAAAUAUACGGAAAGUGCCAUGAAACUGGCACCAAAAGGCGGAUUUAGUAGUAGAAUAAAUUAGAGUCUUUAUUCUAAAAUAGCCCUGAAGCGCGCACACACCGCCCGUCACCCUCCUCAACUCAGAACUACAACAAACCUAUAACCAAAUCAACGUACCUAAGAGGAGGCAAGUCGUAACAUGGUAAGCGCACUGGAAAGUGUGCUUGGAAUAA
rnacentral:ncRNA from 1 species